AUUGAACGCUGGCGGCAGGCUUAACACAUGCAAGUCGAACGAGUGGCGGACGGGUGAGUAAUGCUUGGGAAUCUAGCUUAUGGAGGGGGAUAACUACGGGAACCUGUAGCUAAUACCGCAUACCAUAGGAUGAGCCCAAGUGGGAUUAGGUAGUUGGUGAGGUAAAGGCCCACCAAGCCGACGAUCUCUAGCUGGGCUGAGAGGAUGACCAGCCACACUGGGACUGAGACACGGCCCAGACUCCUACGGGAGGCAGCAGGGGGGAAUAUUGGGCAAUGGGGCAAACCCGACGGAGCCAUGCCGCGAGAAUGAAGAAGGCCUUCGGGUUGUAAAGCUCUGUUAAUCGGGAGACGGUACCGGAAUAGAAAGCCACGGCUAACUACGUGCCAGCAGCCGCGGUAAUAC
rnacentral:rRNA from 1 species